rfam:Myotis lucifugus cont2.17653, whole genome shotgun sequence.
GCUGGUUUAGCUCAAUGGAUAGAGCAUCAGUCUGAGGACUGAAGGGUGCUGGGUUCAAUUCCAGUCAAGGGCA